rnacentral:rRNA from 1 species
UACGUAGGGUGCGAGCGUUGUCCGGAAUUAUUGGGCGUAAAGAGCUCGUAGGCGGUGUGUCACGUCGUUCGUGAAAACCUGCAGCUUAACUGUGGGCGUGCGGUCGAUACGGGCAUCACUGGAGUUCGGCAGGGGAGACUGGAAUUCCUGGUGUAGCGGUGAAAUGCGCAGAUAUCAGGAGGAACACCGGUGGCGAAGGCGGGUCUCUGGGCAGUAACUGACGCUGGAGGAGCGGAAAGCGUGGGGGAGCGAACAGG